rnacentral:lncRNA from 1 species
GCCAUACUCUUUGCAACCAAACCACAUCAGGUGACUUCUUGAAAUGAGCUUGUAUAUGUUGCUUGUGAGCUCCUACUGGCAUCACAAUCCUUCUGGACGCAGAAUGGAUGGCAAGAAGGCUCUGCUGCUUCCUAGGUGUUGGUUGACGUGAGCUGUAUCAUCUGCCUGAGACUCUCUGUGAUCAGCACUCUUCUCUGUUGAACACAUCAGCGCCAUCUGCCUUCUGUCUGCCUGGAGAGACUUGCCACAGUAGAGCUUCCUCAGCCUCACAUGAACCGGUGCAAAGGAUGUGCGUUCCUUUUGCUGAAGCCAUCAAAUAAAAAGGCU